rnacentral:rRNA from 1 species
AACGAACGCUGGCGGCAUGCCUAAUACAUGCAAGUCGAACGAACACUUCGGUGUUAGUGGCGCACGGGUGCGUAACGCGUGGGAAUCUGCCCUUGGGUUCGGAAUAACAGUUGGAAACGACUGCUAAUACCGGAUGAUGACGUAAGUCCAAAGAUUUAUCGCCCAAGGAUGAGCCCGCGUAGGAUUAGCUUGUUGGUGAGGUAAAGGCUCACCAAGGCUACGAUCCUUAGCUGGUCUGAGAGGAUGAUCAGCCACACUGGGACUGAGACACGGCCCAGACUCCUACGGGAGGCAGCAGUAGGGAAUAUUGGACAAUGGGGGAAACCCUGAUCCAGCAAUGCCGCGUGAGCGAUGAAGGCCUUAGGGUUGUAAAGCUCUUUUACCC